UGGGGAAUAUUGCACAAUGGGCGCAAGCCUGAUGCAGCCAUGCCGCGUGUAUGAAGAAGGCCUCCGGGUUGUAAAGUACUUUCAGCGGGGAGGAAGGGAGUAAAGUUAAUACCUUUGCUCAUUGACGUUACCCGCAGAAGAAGCACCGGCUAACUCCGUGCCAGCAGCCGCGGUAAUACGGAGGGUGCAAGCGUUAAUCGGAAUUACUGGGCGUAAAGCGCACGCAGGCGGUUUGUUAAGUCAGAUGUGAAAUCCCCGGGCUCAACCUGGGAACUGCAUCUGAUACUGGCAAGCUUGAGUCUCGUAGAGGGGGGUAGAAUUCCAGGUGUAGCAGUGAAAUGCGUAGAGAUCUGGAGGAACACCAGUGGCGAAGGCGGCUCUCUGGUCUGUAACUGACGCUGAGGCUCGAAAGCGUGGGGAGCAAACAGG
rnacentral:rRNA from 1 species